ACCAAUUCUGGGGGAUAAAACAGUUCCUCUCGGUGUAAUGGCUCGGAUGCAAAAUUAAAAUUUGUGGCUAUCCUGAUAAAUGUGUUGUUCAAUGUCAUUUCAUCGUGAAACACCUCAUACAUAA